rnacentral:rRNA from 1 species
UACGUAGGGUCCGAGCGUUGUCCGGAUUUAUUGGGCGUAAAGAGCUCGUAGGCGGCUCAGUAAGUCAGAUGUGAAAACUCAGGGCUCAACCCGGAGACGCCAUCUGAUACUGCUGUGGCUUGAGUCUGGUAGGGGAUCACGGAAUUCCUGGUGUAGCGGUGAAAUGCGCAGAUAUCAGGAGGAACACCGGUGGCGAAGGCGGUUCUCUGGGCAUUACCUGACGCCGAGGAGCGAAAGUGUGGGGAGCGAACAGG